rnacentral:rRNA from 1 species
GCUGGCUGUGUGCCUAAUACUGCAUGUCGUACGAAGCACUUGUGCUUAGUGGCAAAUGGGUGAGUAACACGUACUUAAUCUACCCCCAAGUUUGGGAUAACAGUUGGAAACAAUUGCUAAUACCAAAUACAUAUAAGUUUUGCAUAAUUCUUAUAUAAAAGGAGCGUUUGUUUCGCUAGGGGAUGAGAGUGCGCUACAUUAGUUAGUUGGUAGGGUAAGAGCCUACCAAGACUAUGAUGUAUAGCGGGGCUGAGAAGCUGAACCGCCACACUGGGACUGAGAUACGGCCCAGACUCCUACGGGAGGCAGCAGUAGGGAAUAUUCCACAAUGAGCGAAAGCUUGAUGGAGCAACACAGCGUGCAGGAAGACGACCUUAGGGUUGUAAACUGCUGUUAUGAGGGAAGAAAAAUAAAAUUAGGAAAUGAAUUUUACAUGACGGUACCUCAUCAGAAAGCACCGGCAAACUAUGUGCCAGCAGCCGCGGUAAUACAUAGGGUGCAAGCGUUAUCCGGAAUUAUUGGGCGUAAAGUGUCUGUAGGUGGUAUGUUAAGUCUAGUGUUAAAGACUAGGGCCCAACCCUAGCACGCUCUAGAUACUGACAUGCUAGAGUCAUAGAGAGGUUAGCGGAACUCCUAGUGAAGCGGUGAAAUGUGUAGAUAUUAGGAAGACACCAAUAGCGAAGGCAGCUAACUGGAUAUGUACUGACACUCAGAGACGAAAGCGUGGGUAGCA